rnacentral:rRNA from 1 species
AGAGUUUGAUCCUGGCUCAGGAUGAACGCUGGCGGCGUGCGUAACACAUGCAAGUUGAGCGACGACGUGCUUGAAGUGGCGACAUGGAGGGCACGAGCGGAGCAGCGGACGGGUGAGUACAACAUGAGAAGCUGUCCUGUGGCGGGGGACAACGUCUAGAAAUGGACGCUAAUACCCCAUAGUCCGAGAGGUUAAAGCAGCAAUGCACCACAGGAGGCGCUCGUGCCCUAUCAGCUAGUUGGCGAGGUAACGGCUCACCAAGGCGACGACGGGUAGCCGGCCUGAGAGGGUGUCCGGCCACACUGGGACUGAGAUACGGCCCAGACUCCUACGGGAGGCAGCAGUGGGGAAUAUUGGGCAAUGGGAGAAAUCCUGACCCAGCGACGCCGCGUGAACGAAGAAGGCCUUCGGGUCGUAAAGUUCUUUUAUGCGGGAAGAAGGAAGUGACGGUACCGCAUGAAUAAGCCCCGGCUAACUACGUGCCAGCAGCCGCGGUAAUACGUAGGGGGCGAGCGUUGUCCGGAAUUACUGGGCGUAAAGGGCACGCAGGCGGUGCAUCAAGUCAGCUGUAAAAGGAUGCGGCUUAACCGUAUUAUGCAGUUGAGACUGAAGUACUGGAGUGCUGGAGAGGCAAGUGGAAUUCCCAGUGUAGCGGUGAAAUGCGUAGAUAUUGGGAAGAACAUCGGUGGCGAAGGCGACUUGCUGGCCAGUAACUGACGCUGAGGUGCGAAAGCCAGGGUAGCAAACGGGAUUAGAUACCCCGGUAGUCCUGGCCGUAAACGAUGAAUGCUAGGUGUGCGUGCAGAGAUGCAGGUGUGCCGCAGUUAACGCGAUAAGCAUUCCGCCUGGGGAGUACGGUGGCAACACUAAAACUCAAAGGAAUUGACGGGGACCCGCACAAGCAGCGGAGCAUGUGGUUUAAUUCGAAGCAACGCGAAAAACCUUACCAGGGCUUGACAUCCCUCUGACCGGCACUUAACCGUGCCUUUCUUCGGACAGAGGAGACAGGUGGUGCAUGGUUGUCGUCAGCUCGUGUCGUGAGAUGUUGGGUUAAGUCCCGCAACGAGCGCAACCCUUGUCGUCAGUUACUAACAUUAAGUUGAGGACUCUGACGAGACUGCCGAGGUCAACUCGGAGGAAGGUGGGGAUGACGUCAAAUCAUCAUGCCCCUUAUGUUCUGGGCUACACACGUGCUACAAUGGCCGGUACAAUGAGAAGCAAAAUGGUGACAUGGAGCAAAUCACCAAAACCGGUCCCAGUUCGGAUUGCAGGCUGCAACUCGCCUGCAUGAAGUCGGAGUUGCUAGUAAUCGCGAAUCAGCAUGUCGCGGUGAAUGCGUUCCCGGGUCUUGUACACACCGCCCGUCACACCAUGGAAGUUGGGGGCGCCCAAAGUUGGCUAAUCAAUCUGCUACCUAAGGCGAAACCAAUGACUGGGGUGAAGUCGUAACAAGGUAACCGUA